rnacentral:rRNA from 1 species
AUUGAACGCUGGCGGCAUGCCUUACACAUGCAAGUCGAACGGCAAGCACGGGGGCAACCCUGGUGGCGAGUGGCGAACGGGUGAGUAAUGCAUCGGAACGUGCCCAGGUAGUGGGGGAUAACUAGUCGAAAGAUUAGCUAAUACCGCAUACGACCUAUGGGUGAAAGCGGGGGAGUCGCAAGACCUCGCGCUAUUGGAGCGGCCGAUGUCUGAUUAG